UUGCUGUGCCAGGCGUGUGGAUUCCUCCUGAUCGACCCGCAGCAGGCCGAGUGCGGGCAUCGCUACUGCGGGGGCUGCGUGAAAGGGCUUUUCAGGGAUACAGACAAUAGGGCAUGCUGUACUUUUAAACAAAGACUCAGAACACAACAGUUCCAUAAUGACAAAGCCGCGGAGAACGAGUCACACAAGUUGCGCUUGUUUUGACUGCGCUUGGACCGGAACCUUCAAAUCAUACCAGGAACACACUUGCCUCCCUGUGGCACAUUGAGAACUUCAAGGAAAGCCAUCUCUCCUCUUGGAGAUCAAGACACUGAUGAAGAAAGGAAAAGCUGGAUAAGGAAUACAAAAGGCUGAUGCUGCCCUCAAUGUGGAGGCUCUCCAGAUGCGCAUGGAAGCCAUGGAGCUGCUGGUGGUGUCUCUGCGCCGACAGAUAGUCAGCCAGGGAGCUGCGAUGAAGUCCCUCCAGCGCAGCUGCUCCCAGUAUGAGCGGCUGCUCAAAAUGUCUCAGGAGACGCACGAUUCCCCCCAUGGAAGCCAAGGAUCUGAGUCGAGGGGGCCGGAGCUGGUCAGCACUGACGGGACCCUGGUGUGGAAGGUGGAGAAAUUUUCCAAGCUCUUGAAAGAGGCCAAAGCCAGAAGGAGGCAAUCCCAUCUACUCCCCUGCCUUUGCCACCCACAUUUAUGGCUACCACCUUUGCAUCCGGCUGUACCCAGACGGAGACAGUAUCGGCAAAGGCGGCCACCGUAAAUAGGAAGUCAUUUAUUCAUUCUGUGGCACUUUAAACGGGGCUUUGCAAUCACUAAGGAUUCCAGGAUGUACAUCCUGAAACAUGAGUUUUUUCUGCCUCACAUGCCAUUUAUUAACAAUGGUAUUUAUAUAUACAACAAUAAUGUACUUGAUGUUGUGCAAGUCAUAAUAAAUAUAUCUAUGUG